rnacentral:ncRNA from 1 species
GAUGUUAAGGCCAAACCCGCCGUGAGACGGGGACGGAAAGCCAUGGGUCUAAGGAGAGUGUCUUAGAUCGCCAGGUUGCCAGAA